rnacentral:rRNA from 1 species
AUUGAACGCUGGCGGAAUGCUUUACACAUGCAAGUCGAACGGCAGCACGGGUGCUUGCACCUGGUGGCGAGUGGCGAACGGGUGAGUAACAUAUCGGAACGUAUCCAGUAAUGGGGGAUAACUAAUCGAAAGGUUGGCUAAUACCGCAUACGCCCUACGGGGGAAAGCUAGGGACCUUCGGGCCUGGCGUUAAUGGAGCGGCCGAUAUCUGAUUAGCUAGUUGGUGGGGAAAUGGCCUACCAAGGCGACGAUCAGUAGCUGGUCUGAGAGGACGAACAGACACACUGGAACUGAGACACGGUCCAGACUCCUACGGGAGGCAGCAGUGGGGAAUUUUGGACAAUGGACGCAAGCCUGAUCCAGCCAUUCCGCGUGAGUGAAGAAGGCCUUCGGGUUGUAAAGCUCUUUCGCAAGGGAAGAAAACUUAUCCUCUAACAUAGGAUGAGGUUGACGGUACCUUGAUAAGAAGCACCGGCUAACUACGUGCCAGCCGCCGCAGUAACAC